CUAUUAUGAAGAGAUAAGCAGCCAGACAAUUUCCCAUGUAUCACUAAACAAACAAUGAUGCACCUAGAUGCAUUGGUUUCCACCCAAUAUUCAUUUAUGAUGAGAUACAUAUGCAUGAGUGCAUAUUACUAUGAAGUACAAUGGAAAUUUUAGUCUAUUGUUUGAAGAAUGUUAACAGUCAUGUAAAGCAAGUAAAGCCAAUCUUCACAUGCUCUAUAUUUCAAAAACACCUCUAGCCUGGUGUUCUGCUGAAAUGCAUCCAAUCUAAUGGAGAUGAAUUUGCUGAAGCUCGG
rnacentral:misc_RNA from 1 species